GACGAACGCUGGCGGCGUGCUUAACACAUGCAAGUCGAACGGUGAAGCACCUUCCUUUUGGUGGGUGUGGAUGAGUGGCGAACGGGUGAGUCACACGUUAGUAACCUGCCCCCUUCUUCUGGAUAACCGCAUGAAAGUGUCGCUAAUACGGGAUAUUCUGGGUCUGUCGCAUGGCGGGCCUGGGAAAGAUAUUGUUUCGGUGGGGGAUGGGCUCGCGGUCUAUCAGCUUGUUGGUGGGGUGAUGGCCUACCAAGGGGGUGGAGGGUAGCCGGACUGAGAGGGUGGACGGUCAAGUCGGGAAUGAGACACGGCCAAGACUCGUACGGGAGGCAGCAGUGGGGAAUAUUGGACGAUGGGCGCAAGACUGAUGCAGAGACGCCGCGUGAGGGAUGGAGGCCUGCGGGUUGUAAACCUCUUUCGCCAGUGAAGCAGGCCUGUCUCUUUUGUGGGUGGGUUGACGGUAGCUGGAUAAGAAGCGCCGGCUAACUACGUG
rnacentral:rRNA from 1 species